AAAGCAAGUUCAGGACCACGAUAAAUGUUCCUGGAGAGUUACAUGCAAGCUGAAUUUUUAAAUAUUGAAAUAAAUUCUUGAGGAUGAUUAAUGGUGACCACUUAAGCAUCUACUAAUAUCCCAUUUUUGUUACUGUGCAGACACAUAGAAGGAAAUACAAGAUGUGAUAUUCUACUUCCAGGGCCUUACAUUGAAUUGAGCAUCACAACAAGCCUGGUCAUUGAGUUGUGAAUUUGUAGUGAGACUGGUUUUGUCGACAUGUCCCUGAAUGGGGGGCAGUCACUACCCCGUUAUCUUUUCCCCCAUUCCAAUACAUGUCUGGAAUACAUUCAUUCCUAACAUUUAUAGUGACUCAUUACUAGGAAAUUCUCAAUGGAAUGGGAUUGGUACCCAGGAGGCAUAUCAAAAUCUUGGGGGAGGGAGAGAGUUGUAAAAAACCUAGAUCCUAAGUAUUUCUGAUAUUUGCUUCAAUGGCUGUUCACCCCUUCGCACAUGUGUGCAUGCACACAAGGACACACACACACUCCUACUGCCAUAAAAUGGGAAGGAUGUAUUUAAGAGAAGGCAGAAUUGGAAACUUCAUGCUAGCAUUAAUUGAUAUCAUUUAAUGCUCACCGCAGCAAUGUAACAUCGGUAUAGAGAUAAUAGUAAUAGAAUUUUCCUUGAAAUAAGCUGAUUAAAAGACCUGGUAUCCCUGGAAGACUGGAGAACUCGCUGUUGGAAGAUUUAGAUGAUGUUCAUGGUGGUGGUUAUUGUAAGACUUACUGGAGUGUGACUUGGUUGGUCAUAGGGAAAGGGGGAUACCAGUAUUAACUGAGUGUCUGUUAUAUGCCAGGCACCAUGCUAAGCCUUUUAUAGUGUUAUGCCAUUUAAUUGGGAAACUCGUUUGGUCUCUGAGCCUGGAUUAAGUGAUCUGUGAAGUCCCUUGUACUUCAAGCAUUCUGGAUGGGAUUUCCAGUUGUCAUCCUUGUAUUCUCUCCCCAAUAUAGCACCGUGUUCUCAAUUCAUAUGUACAUGUUUGUAAAAUUCCUUAAAAUAUUUAUGCUCAAACCAACAUUUCCAUUUUAUCUAUCUUAAAUAUAUCUUCCUCUUCUUUACGCCUAAUUUCUUAAACUCCCAGAGUUUUUUUCUGUAAGAUCUAGUCAUCUGUAGCACUUCUCACAAAUUGAGCUCUCUUAUGCCCCAAACAGUAACGAAAGAGGUCUCUUAGUUGGACAAUAAGCAGUGAAAGAUAUUUCUUAUGGGACAAGAAAUUAACAUUAUUAGUCAAAUGUUGAUGCCGGUAGGCUGAGAAAUGAUUCUCACUUAAAAGCCCCUGGGUUUUAAACCUCUCUUAGAAAAACAUUAGUUAGAUGAAAAAAAAAAUCAAAAUAUUUUCCUCUGGAAAACAAUGUUCCUCUGAAAACAAGCAGAUUAUUAAAAUAUCCCUUGUACUACUUCAGGAAAUUGUAAUCUUAUAACUGUAGUGGCCUUUUAGCUUUUAAAUAUAUGAACUUGAGUUGGACACAUGCUGAUCUCAUUGGUACUUUGCAUGAUAAGAAAUUAUGAUAUUUACAAUGUGCAGUCUCAGAAAGAACUGAGAGUUUUGCUAGACAUUUGCCCUAAAGUUUGAGUCAAUUUAUGGUUUAAAGGGGUGUAUUUAAGGCUAGAAAAGGGAAAUGAAGGGUUUUCUUAGGAUUUUUUCCAAUUCUAUUUAAAAUUGUUUGCAAAGUUUUGAAAGCAUAUGUCAUGAGUUUGGCAAAAAUUAUUUCAAAGCUUGUUUUUUUUUUAACCUCAUUCACCUCUGCUAACUCCUGAACUUCAGUGCUUUACUUCUGUCUUCCAAAAAGACGUUGUCUAAAAUUAGUCAUGAAAUUUAACUUAACUGUAAGAACUUGAAACAUAAAGUUUGCUCUGAAAAAGAUCUGGGAAACCUGAUGUAUAUUUCACAUAUCAAUACAUCUGUUGAUGUAUUGAUAAAAUCUAUACAUCUCAGUUGAAAAAAAAUCUAAAUUUUGCCCAAUAUAUAGCCACAAAUUAUUUAGAAUGUAAUGUUCGUGUUAGUAGGUGAUAUUUUUGUCUUCAGCUUGUCAUUGACCCAUCUAAGGAUCCCUGCGAGGUCUUGUCAAAAACUAGCCUGGGGCAUACCCAAGAAUUUUAAAGAUUAAAUAAAACUUACUGGAAAAUGUG
rnacentral:lncRNA from 10 species